rnacentral:rRNA from 2 species
UGUUUCGGCUAGGGGGCCAUCCCGGCUUACCAACCCGAUGCAAACUGCGAAUACCGGAGAAUGUUAUCACGGGAGACACACGGCGGGUGCUAACGUCCGUCGUGAAGAGGGAAACAACCCAGACCGCCAGCUAAGGUCCCAAAGUCAUGGUUAAGUGGGAAACGAUGUGGGAAGGCCCAGACAGCCAGGAUGUUGGCUUAGAAGCAGCCAUCAUUUAAAGAAAGCGUAAUAGCUCACUGGUCGAGUCGGCCUGCGCGGAAGAUGUAACGGGGCUAAACCAUGCACCGAAGCUGCGGCAGCGACACUGUGUGUUGUUGGGUAGGGGAGCGUUCUGUAAGCCUGUGAAGGUGGCCUGUGAGGGUUGCUGGAGGUAUCAGAAGUGCGAAUGCUGACAUAAGUAACGAUAAAGCGGGUGAAAAGCCCGCUCGCCGGAAGACCAAGGGUUCCUGUCCAACGUUAAUCGGGGCAGGGUGAGUCGACCCCUAAGGCGAGGCCGAAAGGCGUAGUCGAUGGGAAACAGGUUAAUAUUCCUGUACUUGGUGUUACUGCGAAGGGGGGACGGAGAAGGCUAUGUUGGCCGGGCGACGGUUGUCCCGGUUUAAGCGUGUAGGCUGGUUUUCCAGGCAAAUCCGGAAAAUCAAGGCUGAGGCGUGACGACGAGGCACUACGGUGCUGAAGCAACAAAUGCCCUGCUUCCAGGAAAAGCCUCUAAGCAUCAGGUAACAUCAAAUCGUACCCCAAACCGACACAGGUGGUCAGGUAGAGAAUACCAAGGCGCUUGAGAGAACUCGGGUGAAGGAACUAGGCAAAAUGGUGCCGUAACUUCGGGAGAAGGCACGCUGACACGUAGGUGAAGUGAUUUACUCAUGGAGCUGAAGUCAGUCGAAGAUACCAGCUGGCUGCAACUGUUUAUUAAAAACACAGCACUGUGCAAACACGAAAGUGGACGUAUACGGUGUGACGCCUGCCCGGUGCCGGAAGGUUAAUUGAUGGGGUCAGCGCAAGCGAAGCUCCUGAUCGAAGCCCCGGUAAACGGCGGCCGUAACUAUAACGGUCCUAAGGUAGCGAAAUUCCUUGUCGGGUAAGUUCCGACCUGCACGAAUGGCGUAAUGAUGGCCAGGCUGUCUCCACCCGAGACUCAGUGAAAUUGAACUCGCUGUGAAGAUGCAGUGUACCCGCGGCAAGACGGAAAGACCCCGUGAACCUUUACUAUAGCUUGACACUGAACAUUGAGCCUUGAUGUGUAG